GAUGAACGCUGGCGGCGUGCCUAAUACAUGCAAGUCGAGCGAACGGACGAGAAGCUUGCUUCUCUGAUGUUAGCGGCGGACGGGUGAGUAACACGUGGAUAACCUACCUAUAAGACUGGGAUAACUUCGGGAAACCGGAGCUAAUACCGGAUAAUAUUUUGAACCGCAUGGUUCAAAAGUGAAAGACGGUCUUGCUGUCACUUAUAGAUGGAUCCGCGCUGCAUUAGCUAGUUGGUAAGGUAACGGCUUACCAAGGCAACGAUGCAUAGCCGACCUGAGAGGGUAUUAGGCCACACUGAAACUGAGACACGGUCCAGACUCCUACGGGAGGCAGCAUGAGGGAAUCUGCCGCAAUGGGCGAAAGCCUGACGGAGCAACGCCGGGUGGGUGAGGAAGGCCUUCGGAUCGUAAAACCCUGUUAUUAGGGAAGAACAUAUGUGGAAGUAACCGUGCACAUCUUGACGGUACCUAAUCAGAAAGCCACGGCUAACUACGU
rnacentral:rRNA from 1 species